rnacentral:lncRNA from 1 species
GUAAGCGGUUAAGAAUUUUCCUUGUACAAAAGUAGACAUGAUGAUAAUAACUUCAGCAUUUAUUUCAUGGUAUCAGUCUGUGUAGACAGAAGAGGGGCUAAGGAAGGUGUAGGGAGUAUUACUAAACUUUUGAUAGGAAGACAGGUUUCCUCUUGUUAUUUAAAGAGUUAAAAUGAGCUAUUUAAUCUUUAAGCCCACGUUACAAUAAUAAUUGAUUAGUUCUGCCAAUCCUCUUACAAAUGUGGUUAUCUACACUACUUCGGUGUAUAUCGAAAAGACAGGCCUAACUACCUAACCAGAAGUUUGAGUUAUAUUGCAAACAAGAUAUUUGCUUCAAAUAUUUACUAUGAGUUCUUUAUAAUUAAAGCAACCAUGAAUCAAAAGAAUGUAAAAAUAUAAAAAUCUGAGAUUUAUACAGAUUUUUAUUUUGAGAAGAUGCAUUUCAAAAUUCUUCAGAUGUUGUUUGUCCCUGCUUCUAGACAGCUAAAAUAGUGACUUUUAUCCCAAUUCAAAAAAACC